CGGACUGUAGGCUGCAACUCGCCUACACGAAGUUGGAAUUGCUAGUAAUCGUGGAUCAGCAUGCCACGGUGAAUACGUUCCCGGGUCUUGUACACACCGCCCGUCACACCAUGGGAGCUGGUAACACCCGAAGUCAGUAGUCUAACCGCAAGGAGGACGCUGCCGAAGGUGGGAUUAGCGACUGGGGUGAAGUCGUAACAAGGUACC
rnacentral:rRNA from 1 species